AACAGGAUUAGAUACCCUGGUAGUCCACGCCGUAAACGAUGUCGACUUGGAGGUUGUUCCCUUGAGGAGUGGCUUCCGGAGCUAACGCGUUAAGUCGACCGCCUGGGGAGUACGGCCGCAAGGUUAAAACUCAAAUGAAUUGACGGGGGCCCGCACAAGCGGUGGAGCAUGUGGUUUAAUUCGAUGCAACGCGAAGAACCUUACCUACUCUUGACAUCCACGGAAUUCGGCAGAGAUGCCUUAGUGCCUUCGGGAACCGUGAGACAGGUGCUGCAUGGCUGUCGUCAGCUCGUGUUGUGAAAUGUUGGGUUAAGUCCCGCAACGAGCGCAACCCUUAUCCUUUGUUGCCAGCGAUUCGGUCGGGAACUCAAAGGAGACUGCCGGUGAUAAACCGGAGGAAGGUGGGGAUGACGUCAAGUCAUCAUGGCCCCUACGAGUAGGGCUACACACGUGCUACAAUGGCGCAUACAAAGAGAAGCGACCUCGCGAGAGCAAGCGGACCUCAUAAAGUGCGUCGUAGUCCGGAUCGGAGUCUGCAACUCGACUCCGUGAAGUCGGAAUCGCUAGUAAUCGUGGAUCAGAAUGCCACGGUGAAUACGUUCCCGGGCCUUGUACACACCGCCCGUCACACCAUGGGAGUGGGUUGCAAAAGAAGUAGGUAGCUUAACCUCCGGGAGGGCGCUUACCACUUUGUGAUUCAUGACUGGGGUGAAGUCGUAACAAGGUA
rnacentral:rRNA from 1 species